GACGAACGCUGGCGGCGUGCCUAAUACAUGCAAGUUGAGCGCUGAAGGUUGGUACUUGUACCAACUGGAUGAGCAGCGAACGGGUGAGUAACGCGUGGGGAAUCUGCCUUUGAGCGGGGGACAACAUUUGGAAACGAAUGCUAAUACCGCAUAAAAACUUUAAACACAAGUUUUAAGUUUGAAAGAUGCAAUUGCAUCACUCAAAGAUGAUCCCGCGUUGUAUUAGCUAGUUGGUGAGGUAAAGGCUCACCAAGGCGAUGAUACAUAGCCGACCUGAGAGGGUGAUCGGCCAAAUUGGGACUGAGACACGGCCCAAACUCCUACGGGAGGCGGCAGUAGGGAAUCUUCGGCAAUGGACGAAAGUCUGACCGAGCAACGCCGCGUGAGUGAAGAAGGUUUUCGGAUCGUAAAACUCUGUUGGUAGAGAAGAACGUUGGUGAGAGUGGAAAGCUCAUCAAGUGACGGUAACUACCCAGAAAGGGACGGCUAACUACGUG
rnacentral:rRNA from 1 species